AGUGAACGCUGGCGGUAGGCCUAACACAUGCAAGUCGAACGGCAGCACAGGAGAGCUUGCUCUCUGGGUGGCGAGUGGCGGACGGGUGAGGAAUACAUCGGAAUCUACUCUGUCGUGGGGGAUAACGUAGGGAAACUUACGCUAAUACCGCAUACGACCUACGGGUGAAAGCAGGGGAUCUUCGGACCUUGCGCGAUUGAAUUAGCCGAUGUCGGAUUAGCUAGUUUGCGGGGUAAAGGCCCACCAAGGCGACGAUCCGUAGCUGGUCUGAGAGGAUGAUCAGCCACACUGGAACUGAGACACGGUCCAGACUCCUACGGGAGGCAGCAGUGGGGAAUAUUGGACAAUGGGCGCAAGCCUGAUCCAGCCAUACCGCGUGGGUGAAGAAGGCCUUCGGGUUGUAAAGCCCUUUUGUUGGGAAAGAAAUCCAUCUGGUUAAUACCCGGGUGGGAUGACGGUACCCAAAGAAUAAGCACCGGCUAACUUCGUGCCAGCAGCCGCCGUAA
rnacentral:rRNA from 1 species